CGUCUAGGCGGUUGUCUAAGUCCCGUGUGAAAGCUCCCGGCUCAACUGGGAGAGGGCGCGGGAAACUAGGCAGCUAGAGACUCGGAGAGGGGUGUGGAAUUCCCGGUGGAGUGGUGAAAUGCGUUGAGAUCGGGAGGAACACCAGUGGCGAAGGCGGCACCCUGGCCGAGGUCUGACGCUGAAGCGCGACAGCGUGGGGAGCGAACG
rnacentral:rRNA from 1 species